UCUCUAUACCAUACCACCCUGAACGCGCCCAAUCUCGUCUGAUCUCAGAAGCUAAGCAGGGUUGGGCCUGGUUAGUACUUGGAUGGGAGAGCAUGAGAUUUUUGAC
rnacentral:rRNA from 1 species